UGACUGUGGCGGCGUGCCUAAACAUGCAAGUCGAACGAAGAGGCCCCUUCGGGGGUACUUCAGUGGCGGACGGGUGAGUAACACGUAGGUGACCUGCCCCGAGGCAGGGGAUAACGGCCCGAAAGGGCCGCUAAUACCCAAAAGGAUCGCGAGUCGCAUCGUGAUCAGAGUUACGGCGUCUCGGGAGGGGCCUGCGGCCCAUCAGCUAGUUGGCAGGGUAAUGGCCUACCAAGGCGACGACGGGUAGGGGACCUGAGAGGGUGAUCCCCCACAUUGGCACUGACACACGGGCCAAACUCCUACGGGAGGCAGCAGUGAGGAAUAUUGCGCAAUGAGCGAAAGCUAGACGCAGCAACGCCGCGUGGACGAUGAAGGCCUUCGGGUCGUAAAGUCCUUUUCAGAGGGACGAGUGAGGACGGUACCUCUGGAAUAAGUCACGGCUAACUACGUGCCAGCAGCCGCGGUAAAACGUAGGUGGCGAGCGUUAUCCGGAUUCACUGGGCGUAAAGCGCCUGCAGGCGGUCUUGUAAGUGGGAUGUGAAAUCUCCUGGCUUAACUGGGAGGGGCCAUUCCAUACUGCGAGGCUUGAGGGCGGAAGAGGGAAGCGGAAUUCCCGGUGUAGUGGUGAAAUGCGUAGAUAUCGGGAGGAACACCAGUGGCGAAGGCGGCUUCCUGGCCUGCUCCUGACGCUAAGAGGCGAAAGCUAGGGGAGCGAACGGGAUUAGAAACCCCGGUAGUCCUAGCUAUAAACGAUGGAUACUGGGUGUCGGUGGUCCUAACCCCAUCGGUGCCGAAGCUAACGCGUUAAGUAUCCCGCCUGGGGACUACGGCCGCAAGGUUA
rnacentral:rRNA from 1 species